CCUACGGGUGGCUGCAGUAAGGAAUAUUGGUCAAUGGACGAAAGUCUGAACCAGCCAUGCCGCGUGAAGGAUGAAGGUCCUCUGGAUUGUAAACUUCUUUUAUCGGGGACGAAAAAAGGGAAUUCUUUCUCACUUGACGGUACCAGAAGAAUAAGCACCGGCUAACUCCGUGCCAGCAGCCGCGGUAAUACGGAGGGUGCAAGCGUCACUGGGAUUCACUGGGGCGUAGGGGGGCGUAGGAGGGCGGGGAGAAAUCUCCGGGCUUAACCCGGAAACUGCCAUUGAUACUAUCUGUCUUGAAUACUCUGGAGGUAAGCGGAAUAUGUCAUGUAGCGGUGAAAUGCUUAGAUAUGACAUAGAACACCGAUUGCGAAGGCAGCUUACUACGGAGUCAUUGACACUGAGGCACGAAAGCGUGGGGAUCAAACAGGAUUAGAUACCCCGGUAGUC
rnacentral:rRNA from 1 species